rnacentral:rRNA from 1 species
AUGAACGCUGGCGGCGUGCCUAAUACAUGCAAGUCGAGCGAACGGACGAGAAGCUUGCUUCUCUGAUGUUAGCGGCGGACGGGUGAGUAACACGUGGAUAACCUACCUAUAAGACUGGGAUAACUUCGGGAAACCGGAGCUAAUACCGGAUAAUAUUUUGAACCGCAUGGUUCAAAAGUGAAAGACGGUCUUGCUGUCACUUAUAGAUGGAUCCGCGCUGCAUUAGCUAGUUGGUAAGGUAACGGCUUACCAAGGCAACGAUGCAUAGCCGACCUGAGAGGGUGAUCGGCCACACUGGAACUGAGACACGGUCCAGACUCCUACGGGAGGCAGCAGUAGGGAAUCUUCCGCAAUGGGCGAAAGCCUGACGGAGCAACGCCGCGUGAGUGAUGAAGGUCUUCGGAUCGUAAAACUCUGUUAUUAGGGAAGAACAUAUGUGUAAGUAACUGUGCACAUCUUGACGGUACCUAAUCAGAAAGCCUCGGCUAACUACGUG